UGCAGUACUGUGUUCAGCGUGGUGUUCAUCAUGUGAAAUAUUUGUGAUGGACACUGUGAUGAAUAGAGUAAGGCU
rfam:Neotoma lepida isolate 417 scaffold_1944, whole genome shotgun sequence.